rnacentral:rRNA from 1 species
CGCAGCCGCGGUAAUUCCAGCUCCAAUAGCGUAUAUUAAAGUUGUUGCAGUUAAAAAGCUCGUAGUUGAAUUUCGGGAUCAAGUCGUCGGUCGUGCCUCGGUACGCACUGGUGACAUUGGUUUCUCCCUUCUGAAGAACCUUGAUGUCAUUAAUUUGGUGUCUUGGGGAAUCAGGACUGUUACUUUGAAAAAAUUAGAGUGUUUAAAGCAGGCUCACGCUUGAAUACAUUAGCAUGGAAUAAUGAAAUAGGACGUUUGAUUCUAUUUUGUUGGUUUCUAGGAUCGACGUAAUGAUUAAUAGGGAUAGUUGGGGGCAUUAGUAUUCAAUUGUCAGAGGUGAAAUUCUUGGAUUUAUUGAAGACUAACUACUGCGAAAGCAUUUGCCAAGGAUGUUUUCAUUAAUCAAGAACGAAAGUUAGGGGAUCGAAGACGAUCAGAUACCGUCGUAGUCUUAACCAUAAACUAUGCCGACUAGGGAUCGGAUGAUGUUAAUUUUUAAUGACUCAUUCGGCGCCUUACG